GGUUUUUGCUCACGCAACUUCCAACUUUAAAGUGAUUUCUGUCCAAACUUACUUUCAACUUUCAAAUAUACUCUUUCAAUCAAUCGAACAUUUUCCGAACUCCUACUAACAUGAGCCCAUGAAGAAGGGUAUUUGUUGAAAAAUUGAAAACAAACUGCAGAUCAAAUUGCUUCUCAAAAAUCCUGAGACUUAACCUAAAGUAGAUCUUCAAUCUAAAAG
rnacentral:misc_RNA from 1 species